rnacentral:rRNA from 1 species
GAUGAACGCUGGCGGCGUGCCUAAUACAUGCAAGUCGAGCGAACGGACGAGAAGCUUGCUUCUCUGAUGUUAGCGGCGGACGGGUGAGUAACACGUGGAUAACCUACCUAUAAGACUGGGAUAACUUCGGGAAACCGGAGCUAAUACCGGAUAAUAUUUUGAACCGCAUGGUUCAAAAGUGAAAGACGGUCUUGCUGUCACUUAUAGAUGGAUUCGCGCUGCAUUAGCUAGUUGGUAAGGUAACGGCUUACCAAGGCAACGAUGCAUAGCCGACCUGAGAGGGUGAUCAGCCACACUGGAACUGAGACACGGUCCAGACUCCUACGGGAGGCAGCAGUAGGGAAUCUUCCGCAAUGGGCGAAAGCCUGACGGAGCAACGCCGCGUGAGUGAUGAAGGUCUUCGGAUCGUAAAACUCUGUUAUUAGGGAAGAACAUAUGUGUAAGUAACUGUGCACAUCUUGACGGUACCUAAUCAGAAAGCCACGGCUAACUACGUG